CCUCUUUCUCUCUUUCUCUUUCAAGUGUUUCUCUCUAUUCUUUCCACACAAUAUAACAGAGGCUGGGCACUCUAUUUAUAGACAAAAUCAGAAUACGAAAAUUCAACCUUCAAGUGUGAAGGCGGCUGGCGGCAGUGGAGGCGGCUGCGGCUGGUGGCUGGUCGGUUGGUGGCUGGUCGGUGGCAGCUGGUGGUUGCCUUCCUUGACCAUCUAGAUGUUGAGUUUACUAUUCAACAAAUCUCCCCCUUAAACUCAAUCGAGGGAUGUCAUGCCUAGCAUGUACUUUAAUCUGAUAAAUACUUCUCUUUUCAAUGGCUUUGUGAAGAUGUCUGCAACUUGAUCAUUUGUGUUGCAAGAUAUCAGUUGAACUUCUUCAUUCUUCACAUGUUCCCGGAUAAAGUGAUGACGUGUAUCAAUAUGUUUGCUCCUCUCAUGAUACACUGGAUUCUUUGCCAAUGCGAUUGCUGAUCGAUUGUCAAUAUAAAUCUCCGUAGGAUUUUCUUGAGGAAAUCCCAAAAACUUCAGCAUAUUCCUUAACCAUAUUGAGUGGCAUACGGCUGAGUUGGCAGCUACAUAUUCAGCUUCACAGCUUGAUAACGUGACAAUCGAUUGCUUCUUGGAUGACCAUGUGAAAGAUGUGUCUCCCAUGAAAAAGACAAACCCUGUUGUGCUUUUCCUUUCAUCCAAAUCUCUACCCCAAUCACUAUCCGAGUAGCCUACAAGAUUAAAGUCUUUACUUGAGGUAUAAAACAUACCUUCAUUCAUUGUGCCUUUGAUGUAGCGAAGAAUUCUCUUGGCUGCAUUCAAAUGAGACUGGUCUGGUGUCUCCAUGUAUCUGCUGACGAGUCCGACUCCGUAGAGUAUAUCUGGUCUGGUACAUGUCAAGUACCUUAAGCUUCCUACUAAGCUUUUGAAGUAAGUUGGAUCAACAUUUCCAACCUUACUCUUCCUCAAUUCCACUCCAUUCUCAACUGGAGUUGAUACCGGAUUGCAGCUUUCCAUCUUGAACCUUUCAAGAAUAUCUUUGGCGUAACCGCUUUGGGAUACAAAAAUCCCUUCUUCCUUCUGCGUUACUUCUAAGCCAAGAAAAUGUGACAUUAGACCAAUGUCAGUCAUUUCAAACUCCUGUACCAUGCUUUGUUUGAAGUCGUCAAACAUGGUAGGGUUGUUGCCGGUGAAUAUCAAAUCAUCAACAUACAGGCACGCAAAUAAGAUGCUGCCAUCUGCUCCUUUCUUCACAUAUAUAGCGUGUUCAUAUGGACAUUUCUCAAAUCCAUUAUCUUGAAAAUACCUGUCAAUUCUGGUAUUCCAAGCACGCGGAGCUUGCUUCAAACCAUAGAGAGCCUUCUUCAACUUGUAUACUUUGCCUUCAUUUUCAGCAUCAAUGUAUCCAAGUGGUUGUUCAACAUAGAUUUCUUCUUCUAGGAAGCCAUUCAGAAAUGCUGACUUCACAUCGAGUUGAUAGAUCUUCCAUCUAUGUUGUGCAGCUAGUGAGAUCAUCAGUCUGAUUGUCUCUAGCCGGGCUACUGGAGCAAAUAUUUCUCCAUAGUCAAUGCCUUCUCUCUGUUUGUAGCCUUUAGCCACUAAUCUGGCUUUGUAUCUUUGCACUUCUCCUUUGGCAUUCUUCUUCGUCUUGUAGACCCAUUUGACACCUAUUGCUUUCUUGUUUUCUGGUAGAUAAGUCAGCUUCCAGGUAUCAUUCUUCUCAAUGGCAUGUAUUUCUUCAUCCAUUGCUGUUAUCCAUUUCUCUUCUGUGACAGCUUCAUUGAAGCUUAAUGGGUCACUAUCUGCAAAGAAACAAAAUAAAUUUGUAUCUUCCAUAACUUGAGUGGCAUCAUACAGCUCUUCAAGAUUCCGCAUCCUUCUUGGUUCUUCUGAUGAGGAUGCUGAUGGUGGUGUUGAUGAUGAUGCUCCUGGUGUAUUCCUCCUGUUGAAUACAGGGAAUCUGUGCCGGACUUUGUGGUUCAGCUGCUGGCAUAAUCACCGGACUUUGUGGUUCAGCUGCUGGCACAAUCGGUUCUUCUAUAAGUACUGUUGGUACUUCUUCACCUUCAAGGAUCAAAUCAGUGUUGAUCCAUCUGACUGCUUCUUGAUCACAUUCCAUGCCCAAGAUUUAUCUUCUUCAAAGAUAACAUCUCUACUCGUAAUCACCUUCUUCGUGAUGGGAUUAUACAGCCUGUAUCCCAUCCUUCUUUCACCAUAUCCGACAAAGAUGCAUUUCUCGCUCUUAUCAUCGAGCUUUCUCCUUCUUGCAUCUGGGAUCUUUGCAUAUGCCACACAACCAAAGACUCGUAGAUGAGUACACUUGGUUUGUGACCACUCCAUGCUUCUUCUGGAGUGAUCCUUGCAAACUUCUGGUUGGGCAGCGAUUCAACAGAUACACUGCACAUGAUACAGCUUCAGCCCAGUAUUGCUUGGGCAGCUUCUUUGCUUUGAGCAAACUUCUGGCCAUGUCAAGAAUCGUGCGAUUCUUCCUUUCUGCUACACCAUUCAGCUGUGGUGUAUAAGCUGGCGUCGUCUGAUGUUGAUGCCUUGUUGUGUACAAAAGGCUUCAAAGUCAUUGGCUGUAUAUUCUCCACCUUGAUCAGAUCUUACGGUUCUGAUCGUGUAACCAGUUUGCUUCUCCACAAUUGCUUUAAAAUCUUUAAAACAAUUGAAUACUUCUGACUUCCUCUUCAGAAAGUAUAUCCAUGUCUUUCUACUAAAAUCAUCAGUAAAAGUGAGGAAGUACCUAUUUUGUCCAGUCGACAUAGGCGUAAUUGGGCCACACACAUCUGUGUGUACUAACUCCAGUGGCCUCUUUGCUCUCCAGUUGACUUCUUUGGCAAAACUGGAUCUGUGAUGUUUGCUGAGGACACAACUCUCACAGACUUCAUCUGGAUGAUCAAUGUGAGGCAAACCUUUGACCAUCUUCUUGCUUGCUAGCAUCUUCAGACUUGUGAAAUUCAGAUGUCCAAGCCUCAGGUGCCAAAGCCAUUCUUCACUGUUGGUGAUGGCGCUCAAACACCUUGUUGCAUCAUACUGGAUGUUCAAAGGAAACAUCCUAUUCUUGGACAUUUUCACGUAGGCCAUUAAUCUCCCAUUGUUGUCUCUAAUUGCCAGAUGACAAUUCUUCGAGUAAAAAAUAUAUCCUCUCUCCAACAGUUGACCUAAGCUGAUCAGGUUCUGCUUUAUGGCUGGGACAUAAUAGACAUCGGCGAUGUAGCUGGAAUCGCCAUUCUUCAACUUAACUGGGAUGCUGCCUUUACCUUUGAAUGGAACCUUUGUGGUAUCUCCAAAAGUAACUAGACCUUGCUUGGUCUCAUCUAGAUCACGAAAUAACUCUCGGUAGCCGCACAUGUGAUUGCUGGCUCCAGUAUCUAGAUACCAUAUAUCCUCUUGUUUCUCGCCAUGUCCUUGUUGGACAAGAAAUGCAGAUGCUUCUCCAUCAUCUUCUCUGCAUAGUUGGCUUGCUCACGUAUCUCCAACGGAGCUUUCCAUCGCAUUCAGUGCUAUAGUGCCCAAAUUGAUUGCAGCUAUAACAUUUGAUAUUCUCUUGUCACGGUUAUUGUAACCGCCUCCUCUUCCUCUAGGAGUGAAUGCUUGUUGUCCUCGGCCUCCUCUGGUGGUGUUUCUGCCACCUCUUCCUCUGAAGCUUGUAUUCCAAGAUCCUCUUCCUUGGAAUCUGAAAUCCUCCUCUGGAUUGUUGACUUCCUCUUGAGUGGUGUAGCCACUUGAUGAAGUCUCCCCUUGCUCAUAUCUGUCUUUGAAAGACAGCUUUGCUUGUAAGGCAUGCUCAAUGGCCUUAUCUUCAUUUCGCAUUACAAUCUUCUGCUCAUGAGCUUGCAAAGAACUCAUAAGCUCAUCCACUGUCAACUUGUCCACUUCCUUGGACUCUUCAAUUGCGACAACAACAUGAUCAAAUUUUGGAUCUAUGGAUCUCAAAAUUUUCUCAAUAAUUCGAGUAUCUAUGAUGGCUUCUCCAUUUCUCCUCAUCUGAUUGACUAUCACCAUAAUCCUUGUAUGAUAAUCAGAAAUAGAUUCUGAGGACUUCAUUCGUAAUAAUUCGAAUUCUCCUCUCAAAGAUUGAAGACGAAUCUUCUUGAUUCUGUCAGCACCUUUGUAUUUCUGUUGGAGAGCCUCCCAUAUAUCAUGUGACGUUUCAGCGGAAGCUAUUAUCUCGAAUGUAUCUUCAUCAAGACCUUGAUAGAUGAUGGUCUUUGCUUGUUGUCCUUCUUUCUGUUGACUUUCAAAGCUUGCUUCUGUGCCUCUUGUAAAGCAUCUUCUCUUUCUUUGGAUCUGGUUCAUCAUAACCAGUUUGUACAAUAUCCAAACACUCUUGUGACCCAAGGAAUGCCUUCAAUCUGAUGCACCAACUAUCAUAGUUGUCUUUGGUCAGCUUCGGGAUGAGUGUAUGUGUACCUUCUGUAGUCAUUUUGCUCUUUGAAUGACUAUAUCGCCUUCUGGGAGCCGAAUUUGGCCAAACGGACACUGUAGAUCGAUCCGGAAUGGUCCAAAUAGUCGGGAACCGGUCUGACUUUGUUGAAAUCGGGUCAAAAAUGGGUGAACCGGUCAAAAAACCAAUUCUGUACGGCGGGCGGUUCGCUGGGUUGAACCGGGAAUAUUCUGUGGAAUAUUCGGGAAUAUUCUGGGAAUAUUCGGGGAAUAUUCUGGGGAAUACCGGCUCGGCUCGGCUCGGGUACGGCUCGGCUUGUGGCUCGGCUGGCUCGGCUUAGGCGGCUUACACGGCUCGAAUAUGGCGCGCGUGUGGCUCAGUCGUCUUCAACCUCGGGCGCGUGGGUGCGCGUGGCGAUCUGGCUGAAUAUUCAGGCGGCGCGUGUGGGCUACCCCGGACUCCGAUGAGGCUGAUUUUUGCGGCAGUGAGUCGUCUUGAUGAGCUCUACACUGUGGAAUGAUCAAAACUUGUUUUUGACAACUUUGAAAAUUCGGAUAUACCCCAAAACUCUUCUGUUUUCCGACGAACGGGGCUCUGAUACCAAUUGUUGGUGGGAGGAACCACUGGUGGUGGCUUUGAAACACUCAGAGGGGAUAAAACACACUGUUUUAUUACAAAAUCCGAAGCUUACAAUAACAAAACAAAAGCUUAAACACACCCUCUUUCUCUCUCUUUCAAGUGUUUCUCUCUAUUCUCUCCACACAAUAUAACAGAGCUGGGCACUCUAUUUAUAGACAAAAUCAGAAUACGAAAAUUCAACCUUCAAGUGUGAAGGCGGCUGGCGGCAGUGGAGGCGGCUGCGGCUGGUGGCUGGUGGCUGGCGGCUGGCGGCUGGUCGGUUGGUGGCUGGUCGGUGGCAGCUGGUGGUUGCCUUCCUUGACCAUCU
rnacentral:lncRNA from 1 species